rnacentral:rRNA from 1 species
CCUACGGGAGGCUGCAGUAAGGAAUAUUGGACAAUGGCCGCAAGGGUGAUCCAGCCAUGCCGCGUGCAGGAAGAAGGCCCUAUGGGUCGUAAACUGCUUUUACACCGGAGAAAACCUCCCCUCGUGAGGGGAGCUGAUAGUAUGGUGAGAAUAAGCAUCGGCUAACUUCGUGCCAGCAGCCGCGGUAAGACGAAGGAUGCAAGCGUUAUCCGGAUUCAUUGGGUUUAAAGGGAGCGUAGGCGGUCUUAUAAGUCAGUGGUGAAAGCCUAGAGCUUAACUCUAGAAUUGCCAUUGAUACUGUAGGACUUGAGUAUAGUUGCUGUGGGCGGAAUAUGACAUGUAGUGGUGAAAUACUUAGAGAUGUCAUAGAACACCGAUUGCGAAGGCAGCUCACAAAACUAUAACUGACGCUGAGGCUCGAAAGUGUGGGGAUCAAACAGGAUUAGAUACCCCGGUAGUC